rnacentral:rRNA from 1 species
GACGAACGCUGGCGGCGUGCCUAAUACAUGCAAGUAGAACGCACAGUUUAUACCGUAGCUUGCUACACCAUAGACUGUGAGUUGCGAACGGGUGAGUAACGCGUAGGUAACCUGCCUGGUAGCGGGGGAUAACUAUUGGAAACGAUAGCUAAUACCGCAUAAUAUUAAUUAUUGCAUGAUAAUUAAUUGAAAGGUGCAAUUGCACCACUACCAGAUGGCCCUGCGUUGUAUUAGCUAGUAGGUGAGGUAACGGCUCACCUAGGCGACGAUACAUAGCCGACCUGAGAGGGUGAUCGGCCACACUGGGACUGAGACACGGCCCAGACUCCUACGGGAGGCAGCAGUAGGGAAUCUUCGGCAAUGGACGAAAGUCUGACCGAGCAACGCCGCGUGAGUGAAGAAGGUUUUCGGAUCGUAAAGCUCUGUUGUAAGAGAAGAACGGGUGUGAGAGUGGAAAGUUCACACUGUGACGGUAUCUUACCAGAAAGGGACGGCUAACUACGUG